GACGUAGGGCGCGAGCGUUGUCCGGAUUUAUUGGGCGUAAAGAGCUCGUAGGCGGCUUGUUGCGUCAGCUGUGAAAACCCGCAGCUCAACUGUGGGCUUGCAGCUGAUACGGGCAGGCUUGAGUUCGGUAGGGGAGACUGGAAUUCCUGGUGUAGCGGUGAAAUGCGUAGAUAUCUGGAGGAACACCGGUGGCGAAGGCGGCAGCCUGGACCGACACUGACGCUGAGGAGCGAAAGCCAGGGGAGCAAACGGG
rnacentral:rRNA from 1 species